GAACGCACCUUGCGCCCUUUGGCUAUUCUGAAGGGCAUGCCUGUUUGAGUAUCAUGAACACCUCAACUCUCAUGGUCCGCCAUGAUGAGCUUGGACUAUGGGGGUCUUGCCGGCCUAGCGUCGGCUCCUCUCAAAUGGAUCAGCUUCCCAGUGUUUGGUGGCGUCACAGGUGUGAUAACUAUCUACGCUUGUGGUUUUCCACCAUUAACCUUCAGCAAUGGAGGUUCGCUGGAGCUUACAGAUGUCUUUCCUUGGGGAGGACAGCUUCUUGAAUGUCUGAUCUCAAAUCAGGUAGGACUACCCGCUGAACUUAAG
rnacentral:misc_RNA from 1 species